CUCAGAUUGAACGCUGGCGGCAGGCCUAACACAUGCAAGUCGAGCGGAAACGAGUUAUCUGAACCUUCGGGGGACGAUAACGGCGUCGAGCGGCGGACGGGUGAGUAAUGCCUAGGAAAUUGCCCUGAUGUGGGGGAUAACCAUUGGAAACGAUGGCUAAUACCGCAUGAUGCCUACGGGCCAAAGAGGGGGACCUUCGGGCCUCUCGCGUCAGGAUAUGCCUAGGUGGGAUUAGCUAGUUGGUGAGGUAAGGGCUCACCAAGGCGACGAUCCCUAGCUGGUCUGAGAGGAUGAUCAGCCACACUGGAACUGAGACACGGUCCAGACUCCUACGGGAGGCAGCAGUGGGGAAUAUUGCACAAUGGGCGCAAGCCUGAUGCAGCCAUGCCGCGUGUGUGAAGAAGGCCUUCGGGUUGUAAAGCACUUUCAGUCGUGAGGAAGGUAGUGUAGUUAAUAGCUGCAUUAUUUGACGUUAGCGACAGAAGAAGCACCGGCUAACUCCGUGCCAGCAGCCGCGGUAAUACGGAGGGUGCGAGCGUUAAUCGGAAUUACUGGGCGUAAAGCGCAUGCAGGUGGUUUGUUAAGUCAGAUGUGAAAGCCCGGGGCUCAACCUCGGAAUUGCAUUUGAAACUGGCAGACUAGAGUACUGUAGAGGGGGGUAGAAUUUCAGGUGUAGCGGUGAAAUGCGUAGAGAUCUGAAGGAAUACCGGUGGCGAAGGCGGCCCCCUGGACAGAUACUGACACUCAGAUGCGAAAGCGUGGGGAGCAAACAGGAUUAGAUACCCUGGUAGUCCACGCCGUAAACGAUGUCUACUUGGAGGUUGUGGCCUUGAGCCGUGGCUUUCGGAGCUAACGCGUUAAGUAGACCGCCUGGGGAGUACGGUCGCAAGAUUAAAACUCAAAUGAAUUGACGGGGGCCCGCACAAGCGGUGGAGCAUGUGGUUUAAUUCGAUGCAACGCGAAGAACCUUACCUACUCUUGACAUCCAGAGAACUUUCCAGAGAUGGAUUGGUGCCUUCGGGAACUCUGAGACAGGUGCUGCAUGGCUGUCGUCAGCUCGUGUUGUGAAAUGUUGGGUUAAGUCCCGCAACGAGCGCAACCCUUAUCCUUGUUUGCCAGCGAGUAAUGUCGGGAACUCCAGGGAGACUGCCGGUGAUAAACCGGAGGAAGGUGGGGACGACGUCAAGUCAUCAUGGCCCUUACGAGUAGGGCUACACACGUGCUACAAUGGCGCAUACAGAGGGCAGCCAACUUGCGAAAGUGAGCGAAUCCCAAAAAGUGCGUCGUAG
rnacentral:rRNA from 1 species